rnacentral:rRNA from 1 species
GACGAACGCUGGCGGCGUGCCUAACACAUGCAAGUCGAACGGCGCCAGGGGGCUUGCCCCCUGGCGCAGUGGCGGACGGGUGAGUAACGCGUGAGCAACCUGCCUCGAAAUGGGGGAUACCGCUGUGAAAACAGCGCUAAUACCGCAUAACGUGCGGAGACCGCCUGGUUUCCGCACCAAAGAUUCAUUGUUUCGAGAUGGGCUCGCGUCCGAUUAGCUAGUUGGCGGGGUAACGGCCCACCAAGGCUGCGAUCGGUAGCCGGACUGAGAGGUCGGACGGCCACAUUGGGACUGAGAUACGGCCCAGACUCCUACGGGAGGCAGCAGUGGGGAAUAUUGGGCAAUGGGCGCAAGCCUGACCCAGCAACGCCGCGUGAGGGAAGAAGGCCUUCGGGUUGUAAACCUCUUUUCCAUGGAAAGAUAAUGACGGUACCAUGGGAAUAAGCCACGGCUAACUACGUGCCAGCAGCCGCGGUAAUACGUAGGUGGCGAGCGUUGUCCGGAAUUACUGGGUGUAAAGGGCGCGUAGGCGGGGGGGCAAGCCCGAUGUGAAAUGCCGAAGCUCAACUUCGGCACUGCAUUGGGAACUGCCGCCCUUGAGUGGCGGAGAGGUAAGCGGAAUUCCGAGUGUAGCGGUGGAAUGCGUAGAUAUUCGGAGGAACACCAGUGGCGAAGGCGGCUUACUGGACGCCAACUGACGCUGAGGCGCGAAAGCGUGGGGAGCAAACAGGAUUAGAUACCCUGGUAGUCCACGCGGUAAACGAUGGACGCUAGGUGUGGGGGGACUGACCCCCCCCGUGCCGGAGCUAACGCAAUAAGCGUCCCACCUGGGGAGUACGUUCGCAAGAAUGAAACUCAAAGGAAUUGACGGGGGCCCGCACAAGCAGUGGAGUAUGUGGUUUAAUUCGAAGCAACGCGAAGAACCUUACCAGGGCUUGACAUCCCGCUAACGAGGCGGAGACGCGUCAGGUGCCCUUCGGGGAAAGCGGAGACAGGUGGUGCAUGGUUGUCGUCAGCUCGUGUCGUGAGAUGUUGGGUUAAGUCCCGCAACGAGCGCAACCCUUGCGGCUAGUUGCUACGAAAGAGCACUCUAGCCGGACCGCCGUUGACAAAACGGAGGAAGGCGGGGACGACGUCAAAUCAUCAUGCCCCUUAUGCCCUGGGCUACACACGUACUACAAUGGCGGCCAUACAGAGGGGAGCGCGGCGGCGACGCCAAGCGAAUCCCUAAAAGCCGCCCCAGUUCAGAUUGCAGGCUGCAACUCGCCUGCAUGAAGCCGGAAUUGCUAGUAAUCGCGGAUCAGCAUGCCGCGGUGAAUACGUUCCCGGGU